GACGUGGUGGCCUAAUGGUUAGCGCAUUGGACUCCAGAUCAAAUGGUCCGGGUUCGAGUCCUUGCCGGGUUCA